rnacentral:rRNA from 1 species
AGUUUGAUCAUGGCGUCAGGAUGAACGCUAGCGGAAGGCCUAACACAUGCAAGCCGAGCGGGAUUUCAGAUGUAGCUUGCUACAUUUGAAUGAGAGCGGCGCACGGGUGCGGAACACGUGUGCAACCUGCCUUAUCUGGGGGAUAGCCUUUCGAAAGGAAGAUUAAUACCCCAUAAUAUAUUUGAUGGCAUCAUUAAAUAUUGAAAACUCAGGUGGAUAAAGAUGGGCACGCGCAAGAUUAGAUAGUUGGUAGGGUAACGGCCUACCAAGUCUACGAUCUUUAGGGGGCCUGAGAGGGUGAUCCCCCCACACUGGUACUGAGACACGGACCAGACUCCUACGGGAGGCAGCAGUGAGGAAUAUUGGACAAUGGGUGCAAGCCUGAUCCAGCCAUCCCGCGUGAAGGAAUAAGGACCUAUGGUUUGUAAACUUCUUUUAUACUGGGAUAAACCUACCCUCGUGAGGGUAGCUGAAGGUACAGUAUGAAUAAGCACCGGCUAACUCCGUG